rnacentral:rRNA from 1 species
GACGAACGCUGGCGGCGCGCCUAAUACAUGCAAGUAGAACGCUGAAGGAGGAGCUUGCUUCUCUGGAUGAGUUGCGAACGGGUGAGUAACGCGUAGGUAACCUGCCUGGUAGCGGGGGAUAACUAUUGGAAACGAUAGCUAAUACCGCAUAAGAGUAGAUGUUGCAUGACAUUUGCUUAAAAGGUGCAAUUGCAUCACUACCAGAUGGACCUGCGUUGUAUUAGCUAGUUGGUGGGGUAACGGCUCACCAAGGCGACGAUACAUAGCCGACCUGAGAGGGUGAUCGGCCACACUGGGACUGAGACACGGCCCAGACUCCUACGGGAGGCAGCAGUAGGGAAUCUUCGGCAAUGGACGGAAGUCUGACCGAGCAACGCCGCGUGAGUGAAGAAGGUUUUCGGAUCGUAAAGCUCUGUUGUAAGAGAAGAACGAGUGUGAGAGUGGAAAGUUCACACUGUGACG